GGAGUGUUCGGAUUGUUGCGGAGGCAGGGUGAGGAGCUGGGAGCCUGCGCUAAGGCUACCCAUGACCUACAGGCUGUGCGAGCCACGCUGUUUCCCAUCUUGUCUCCGUUCAUCUUCCUCGUGCCCUAUGAAGUCGGUAUCCGGCUCCAUCUUACAGACCAGGAAACUAAGAGCAGGCAAGGUCCAAGGCCACAUAACAGGUGCAAAAAGACAGACUGGAGGGAGAUGUAUGCCAGGACCCCUGACCGGCCCUCUUAGCUUGCUGGAGGGGCUGGGUGCAGCUCACUGACCUGGCCUUCACCAUCUGCUGCCUGCUUGGCUGUGGAGCCACUGAUGCCCACGUGUAGAGGGCACAGACCUAGACAGAAAUUGCUCAUUGAAAUGAGUAAUGCUAGAAAAAUUCACUUGAAC
rnacentral:lncRNA from 10 species